UACGGAGGGGGCUAGCGUUAUUCGGAAUUACUGGGCGUAAAGCGUUCGUAGGCGGCUUUGUAAGUCAGAGGUGAAAGCCCACGACUCAAUCGUGGAACUGCCUUUGAGACUGCUUCGCUUGAAGAUGGGAGAGGUUAGUGGAAUCCCGAGUGUAGAGGUGAAAUGCGUAGAUAUUCGGAAGAACACCAGUGGCGAAGGCGGCAAACUGGACCAUGCUUGACGCUGAGGAACGAAAGCGUGGGGAGCAAACAGG
rnacentral:rRNA from 1 species